AAGUCGUAACAAGGUUUCCGUAGGUGAACCUGCGGAAGGAUCAUUAACACUAUCUAAACGAUACCUAAAUCAUUUAGGUAUUUUCACCCCUUAAAUGCGAACAUGUUGGUGGGACUUGCGGCUGUGCUCGCUUUGCGUGGAGAGGGCAAAAACGUGGAUCUUUUGCUGUUCUCCUGAGUGCAGAAACUCGUUUUACGAGUUGAACUGCAUUUUCCCGCACUUUUUCCUCAUUCUUCCAUUUUAUUAACCACAUGAACUUUCUAGACUGAAACUUUUUUUUCACCUCGGUGAGAAAAAAAAAAGACAAUGCUUAACAACUCUUAGCAACGGAUAUCUUGGUUCUC
rnacentral:misc_RNA from 1 species